GAGAAAAUAAUCAGAAGUUACAGAGAUGAGGAAAGCUUGUGAUCACACUCAACCUGGAUAAUGCCUGGGCCAUAAGAGCAUCCCGGGAGUGGCAGAGGAGAGCCAGCCUCACCCGACUCCCAUGGACCGAGAGAGAAGGGGAAGGAGUGGUUCUUCAAAGACAGAAUGUCACCAGAGGGGAGAUGAGAAGCAGACAGCCCUCGUCCACAGAUGUCCCCUAAAGUGGCUGUAUCUAACGUCUCCCUGGGCGCAGCCUUGAUGAGAAGGUCACCACCUCUUGCUGCCGCCUGUGUUAAUUCCUGGACAGCAGUGAAUCUCUGGAAAUUCUUCAUGCCAUUCAAACAGAAUCCUCCUGAACUUCCAACCCUGGUUCCAGUUUUAACCUCUGAGAUCACACCAAACAAACCCAGCAACUGUUUCGUGGAAUAAAGCCCUUCUUAUGUGGAGACAACAGGUUUGCCUCCAUGAAGGCUUC